rnacentral:rRNA from 1 species
AGUGAACGCUGGCGGUAGGCCUAACACAUGCAAGUCGAACGGCAGCACAGUAAGAGCUUGCUCUUACGGGUGGCGAGUGGCGGACGGGAGAGGAAUACAUCGGAAUCUACUUUUUCGUGGGGGAUAACGUAGGGAAACUUACGCUAAUACCGCAUACGACCUACGGGUGAAAGCAGGGGAUCUUCGGACCUUGCGCGAUUGAAUGAGCCGAUGUCGGAUUAGCUAGUUGGCGGGGUAAAGGCCCACCAAGGCGACGAUCCGUAGCUGGUCUGAGAGGAUGAUCGGCCACACUGGAACUUAGACACGGUCCAGACUCCUACGGGAGGCAGCAGUGUGGAAUAUUAGACAAUGGGCGCAAGCCUGGUCCAGCCAUACCGCGUGGGUGGAGAAGGCCUUCGGGUUGUAAAGCCCUUUUGUUGGGAAAGAAAAGCAGCAGGUUAAUACCCCGCUGUUCUGACGGUACCCAAAGAAUAAGCACCGGCUAACUUCGUG